rnacentral:lncRNA from 1 species
UUAGCUUCUAUAUAUUUUUAUCAAUAGUGUGACUAACAAUAUAUUUUACCGUCAAAAAACAAAUAAACUAACAAUAUGUUUUGUGGGUGUUUCUUGCAGGUUGGUUCAAAUUUCUAGUUUUCUAUGUUGAGGGUGAAGAUGCAAUGAAUAACACUUUUUGAAGAUCAUAGUAUUUUAGUGCCUCUUAUACUACAUUUUAUGUAUAAAAUGUAAUAUUUCACAUUACUUAGAGUGAUGAGUUGAUUUUUUUUCUAAGAAUUCAAUAUUGUAAAAAUUUAUUUACAUUGAUCGUCAUCUAAAUAUAUAGAGUAAACCGAUUAUUGUUUGAAUGAAAAA